UACGGGGGGAGCAAGGCGUUGUUCGGAUUUACUGGGCGUAAAGGGUGCGUAGGCGGGUCUUUAAGUCAGGGGUGAAAUCCUGGAGGCUCAACUCCAGAACUGCCUUUGAUCACUGAGGAUCUUGAGUUCGGGAGGAGGUGAGUGGAACUGCGAGUGUAGAGGUGAAAUUCGUAGAGUAUUACGCAAGAACACCAGUGGCGGAAGGCGGACUC
rnacentral:rRNA from 1 species